rnacentral:lncRNA from 1 species
GUCAUCCCCAAGAGAGGCUCAGAAUGCCAGAAGGACCGUGGUGAUCCUGUGCAGGCCGGCUCGCCGGGCCCAGCCUCGGGCUCCUUGCCUGUAAGAUGGAGAGGCAUAGCCGCAGCCCCUGGGUACCGCCCACCGUCCACCGGUACCCCCUGCAGCACAGGGGGCGCUGCAGCAAUGAAGGCUGGGCCCACUCACACCAAUCCUUUAACACGCAUCGGUCUUGACUUCAAGCGUGAAGCAGAGCACAGAGACAGGCAGGCUUUUGACCCAGACAGAGCGCAUCUUCCAAUACACUGUCCUAGAUGAGUCACCUUGGGAGGCCUCAUCAGUCCUCCCACCUUACUGCACAGGAGUGUCAGAGCCUUCCUGUGAGCAUGUUCCUGGAACAGAUGACCCUAUUUUCAUAAAGCUUGUCCUAGCAAGCCUUCUCCACGGCAAAAGAAAAGCUAACUGGGACUUAGACACCGGGUCAAAGACUCCUUGGCUGGUACCCUUGGCAAAAUGCAGAUCCUGGAUUCUCGGGGAGUGCCCCAACUCAGGCCUCCGGGUCUGUUUCACGAGCAAACUCCCAGUCCCAUCUCUCAGGGGGUCUGUGAAGUGUGCCUUCUGGUUCAGAGUGCUGGCCGAGCAGCAUAACCCAGGCCUCCACGUCCAGCCCUGAGGACACAGUCAUUCUGGAGGGUGUGCUGUUUAACAUUGAAAUGUCCUUUGGCAAUGGAAGUGCUGCCUCCGACUGGCCCUGUCUACCGAAGCCUUGUGUUAGAAACCCCUGUGUUCGUAACCGGUGGCUUAGUCUGGAAAAGAGGUAUAAUUUAAGUGUAAUUCUACACUGGCUUUUCAAGUCCUCCCAGGAAGAGAAC